AGGUGGUGAAGCCAGCCAGACCAGUGUCCUUUAUUUCAGGGUGACAAGUUCCCUCUGGUACCAGGCAGAGGAGCCUCACCCCAUGGCCACCAUUACCACAGGCUCAUGAGGAGUACUGCCAGUCACUGCCAAUAUUCACUUAAGGUCCAAGGAUUCUUCUGUCAGGUUAUGGUGAAUGCUGCCUGGCCUCAGAAUCACCCUUAGGGCAGUGGAUUACCCUUCUGCUCAGGGUAGGUCCAGAAAUGCCACACAUAAGUCAAGGCCUGAAAUCAGGAACCCCAAGAGGACUCUUGGUGCUGUAACCACUUGUGGCUGAGCUGGUUCCUGACUUUUGUUUCUUAUGAAGGGAUUUUUUUGUGUAGUUUUUUAAAUUUGGUGUUCCUACAUAGAAACAAUUGAUGGAGUCUUCUAUUUGCCAUCUUACUCCACCCAAGAGAUCCAAAUGCUCAAGUUUGAUGACUUCUGGAGGGUGCUAAUAUGCCCAUGUCACAAAUUAUGAAGUUACAGAGAUUUGAUCUGUAUCAAGCCUCUGAGUGACUUAUUUUAUUCUUAGGUACACCCAUUGACACUGGGUUCAAAAGCAGGAUAAUAAAAUCACCAUCAUGAAGAAGCCGUCUCAUGAGAAAACGCACUAUGUGAACUCCCAACACUGCUGAAGAGUCACCACCUCUAGUUUGUCAGAUAAGCUCUUCAGAUGGCCAGUUGUCCCCUUCAGGAUCCUGGGAUGGGACCAUGUACGUCUAGCAAUAUAAAACUGGUACUGGCAUUACCAGCAGGUGCCCUUCUGAAAACCACUGGAAUGUCUCUGGCUCCUAAAAUAAGAUAAUUAGGUAGUAGAGUGCCCUGGGAUGUGGAUGCUUACCUUUCAGAACUAGACUUGGGUUCAUUCUCACCUGACUGCCUCAGCCACCUAGGAAACAUGACCCAGGUGACCAUUAUCUCAGAGGCUUCUGUCGGGCCUCUGCAGGAAUAAAUGCAGGCUAUUCUCUAGGCAAUCAAUGAGAAUAAGAGCCUCUAUACCUUUAUUGAAAGAGACAUUAACAACUGCUACUGGUUUAGUGAAAUGCAGGGUUCAAGGAAGGAGUCGAGGACCCAAUUGAAGAAAUAACAAGCAGUCAUGCCAGGAAUACAUCCCAAACCACAACCCUGUCUUGUACAUGGACACUCAGACAGUUUGCUUGCUCUAGGAGGUAGCAGGGAGAAGCCUCCAAAAAGAACUUAUCUGGCCACAGCCUAAGAAAGGAAGAAAUUAAGUUUUAAAAAAGAAACUUUUCUCCAUCCAUGUAACGUAGCUUAUUUGUAAAUAUCUAGAAGAAACAACUGUAAAAAUACAUGUCUUGGUCAUUGCCACAGAAGAAUAAGGUAGAGAACAAACAUCUUUAAUUUAAUGAGGACACAACCCGUCUAGACAAUCAAGCUCCUAAAGAAUAAGAGGUCUAGUGGGUAACUAACACAAGUGUUUAAAUAGCUUAAACUAGACCUUAAUAUUUACAUAAUGGCUUCAAUCCUUUGCUUUCCAGCCACGCUGUGAAUGUUUUUGAAUUGGGGAAAUUCUUCAUUCACUCAACUCAGUAUUCUUCUUAAACAAACCUAAAAUGAAAUCACUUAAAAACUCAAGAGUAGAAUUACUUUCAAAGUAUUUUUAAUGCAAUCUCAAUUCCAAUUUGAGAAUUCAAUAUAAAUUCUGCACCCAUUUAGAUAAUUGUUUGAGCUUUGGGAUUCCUGUUACUCUGCAAUUCAUAUCAAACCUGUUGAGAGUUUUCCAGCAUGAAAAAGAAAACAAAUUUUGGCUUUCUUAAAUUUUAUUAAGAAAGUAAUAAAAUAUUUCCUUUCAAUUGAACCAUUCAUUUAAGCUAGUACAAGCAUGUAGUUUAAAAAUCAACUAGUAAGAUAAAGACCAAAGUACCACUUUUCUUUUUUGAAAUUGUACUGGAUUAACAUUCAUCUGGAAUAGGCUUAGAAAUAAUCUAGUCUAGUAGUUGUCUUCUUUGGAUCAG
rnacentral:lncRNA from 10 species